rnacentral:misc_RNA from 1 species
CGGUUUCUGCCCUUUUCGUCACAUGCGGGUAAUAUUCCGGUGGCCUUAAGCAAUUCUGAGGGAGCUGGCUCUGGCAUAGCCGUGGCUUUGUUACCUGGCGCCCACCUGUACAUACAGGUCCUCAGGAAUUCAGACCCCGACGACUGCGUGCGGUUCCGCC